rnacentral:lncRNA from 1 species
AUUCUAGCUAUGUUAUCUAGCUUUACUGCCUCCUACUGGUAUUGCUAGUUCAAUGUCAUGUUGUCUUAGUUUAUGGUUGUAUAACCCACAAAUUCAUAGUUUGGCUUUAUAUUCUAUUGCCAUACAUUACACUAAUGCAUUCAAUUACAUAACAUAUUUUUAUUUCUGUUUACUUAUCUAUUAGGUUAAUCUUUUACAUAACAGUUAGUUGAAAGUAAAGCUAAUUAAUUACACCUAAUGAAAGAAAUUAAAUUAAGCAUAUGAGACAUGGAAUAAUGGGGAUAGCUGGACAAGAUCCGUAUUUUUUUUUAUUUACCUACAUGUUCUUUUCAAGCUGCAGAUUAUCUGUUAGCAGCCAGUUUUUCCUGCUGUUUGGCUCCCAAAUUCUUGUCUAGAAGUUUUUAUUUACCUACAUGUUCUUCUCUUCUCAUACCUGUAGAAGAGAAUAGCAAACAAAUUGUGCCUCAAUCUUGCUUUUUUGCUAAUGUGUGCUUCUCAUUUUUAUUCUUGUGUUGCAAGACUCGCCCUAAAACCAAUGGGUUUCACUAAAUUAUAUUUCUAGCUUUUUGGUAAGGGCAUAAGACCCUACAUCUACUUGUGUUUUUUGGCCUUGCAAGUCUCAUACAUUGUAGAGUAUGUUUUUGCCCUCUCAACCUUGAUGGUAUAAAUAUUUUUUCAUGCUCAAAGUUUUCCAUGUCAGCCACAAACCAUUGUGUGUCAAGGACAUGCCAAACUUCCACAUAAUGUCACACCACAUUAUCAUCAAGUUGCAUGUAAGGUGAAUAUUAUCUUAUUUGACCAGGAAGGCUUGUAAGCACUUGAUUGGCUUUUCAUCUUAAAAAAAAUUAGCUGGUGAUAGGGAGCUAGGUACAAUAUAUUUUGGGAACCCCCGGAAUAAUGAAUUACCAAUCUUAGUAUGUUCUAGGAAAAGGAUCAGAAUUUUUCCCUUGUUUUCUUUUUGCAAGUUGUAGUCAUUAAAUUUUUCGAUCGGAGUUGUUUGAGCCAAGAUAACAAAUAUUUUCUUGUCAUGGCUGGUAUAUGGUUUGCACUCUUAGCUGUCUCAUGUUAAUUGGAUUUAAUCAUACGGAUUGAAUUAAAAAAUAAAAAAUGACCAAGAAAAGACAUAGAAUUUGAAAGGAUAGAUUAUUGUAUGAAGGGGCAUAUUCUUAUAUCAAUGCUAGUUAGGUUCAUUUUUUGCUUUAGUUGGUGCCAGAUGUAACCUUAAAGUAG